UAUUUGCGUGAGGGAUAGAAGUGGAAAGCCCACAGCCUGACGAAGGAAGUGCGAGGACUUGAAACGGAUAGCCCGGUUCGCC
rnacentral:sRNA from 1 species